AUUGAACGCUGGCGGCAUGCCUUACACAUGCAAGUCGAACGGUAACAGGUCUUCGGAUGCUGACGAGUGGCGAACGGGUGAGUAAUACAUCGGAACGUGCCCAGACGUGGGGGAUAACGAGGCGAAAGCUUUGCUAAUACCGCAUACGAUCUAAGGAUGAAAGCAGGGGACCGCAAGGCCUUGUGCGUUUGGAGCGGCCGAUGGCAGAUUAGGUAGUUGGUGGGAUAAAAGCUUACCAAGCCGACGAUCUGUAGCUGGUCUGAGAGGACGACCAGCCACACUGGGACUGGGACACGGCCCAGGCUCCUACGGGAGGCAGCAGUGGGGAAUUUUGGACAAUGGGCGAAAGCCUGAUCCAGCAAUGCCGCGUGCAGGAUGAAGGCCUUCGGGUUGUAAACUGCUUUUGUACGGAACGAAAAGGCUCUGGCUAAUACCUGGGGCACAUGACGGUACCGUAAGAAUAAGCACCGGCUAACUACGUG
rnacentral:rRNA from 1 species